rnacentral:rRNA from 1 species
CAGGCUUAACACAUGCAAGUCGAGGGGCAGCAUGGUCUUAGCUUGCUAAGGCCGAUGGCGACCGGCGCACGGGUGAGUAACACGUAUCCAACCUGCCGUCUACUCUUGGACAGCCUUCUGAAAGGAAGAUUAAUACAAGAUGGCAUCAUGAGUCCGCAUGUUCACAUGAUUAAAGGUAUUCCGGUAGACGAUGGGGAUGCGUUCCAUUAGAUAGUAGGCGGGGUAACGGCCCACCUAGUCUUCGAUGGAUAGGGGUUCUGAGAGGAAGGUCCCCCACAUUGGAACUGAGACACGGUCCAAACUCCUACGGGAGGCAGCAGUGAGGAAUAUUGGUCAAUGGGCGAGAGCCUGAACCAGCCAAGUAGCGUGAAGGAUGACUGCCCUAUGGGUUGUAAACUUCUUUUAUAAAGGAAUAAAGUCGGGUAUGGAUACCCGUUUGCAUGUACUUUAUGAAUAAGGAUCGGCUAACUCCGUGCCAGCAGCCGCGGUAAUACGGAGGAUCCGAGCGUUAUCCGGAUUUAUUGGGUUUAAAGGGAGCGUAGAUGGAUGUUUAAGUCAGUUGUGAAAGUUUGCGGCUCAACCGUAAAAUUGCAGUUGAUACUGGACAUCUUGAGUGCAGUUGAGGCAGGCGGAAUUCGUGGUGUAGCGGUGAAAUGCUUAGAUAUCACGAAGAACUCCGAUUGCGAAGGCAGCCUGCUAAGCUGCAACUGACAUUGAGGCUCGAAAGUGUGGGUAUCAAACAGGAUUAGAUACCCUGGUAGUCCACACGGUAAACGAUGAAUACUCGCUGUUUGCGAUAUACGGCAAGCGGCCAAGCGAAAGCGUUAAGUAUUCCACCUGGGGAGUACGCCGGCAACGGUGAAACUCAAAGGAAUUGACGGGGGCCCGCACAAGCGGAGGAACAUGUGGUUUAAUUCGAUGAUACGCGAGGAACCUUACCCGGGCUUAAAUUGCAGAUGAAUUACGGUGAAAGCCGUAAGCCGCAAGGCAUCUGUGAAGGUGCUGCAUGGUUGUCGUCAGCUCGUGCCGUGAGGUGUCGGCUUAAGUGCCAUAACGAGCGCAACCCUUGUUGUCAGUUACUAACAGGUUCCGCUGAGGACUCUGACAAGACUGCCAUCGUAAGAUGUGAGGAAGGUGGGGAUGACGUCAAAUCAGCACGGCCCUUACGUCCGGGGCUACACACGUGUUACAAUGGGGGGUACAGAGGGCCGCUACCACGCGAGUGGAUGCCAAUCCCAAAAACCUCUCUCAGUUCGGACUGGAGUCUGCAACCCGACUCCACGAAGCUGGAUUCGCUAGUAAUCGCGCAUCAGCCACGGCGCGGUGAAUACGUUCCCGGGCCUUGUACACACCGCCCGUCAAGCCAUGGGAGCCGGGGGUACCUGAAGUGCGUAACCGCGAGGAGCGCCCUAGGGUAAAACUGGUGACUGGGGCUAAGU